rnacentral:tRNA from 3 species
GCCCGAGUGGCGGAAUGGCAGACGCGGCGGUCUCAAAAACCGUUGCCUUAUGGCAUGUCAGUUCGACUCUGACCUCGGGCACCA